GGGAGCAUGGGGGGCACCCUGAUCCAGCAUGCCGCGUGUGUGAAGAAGGCCUGCGGGUUGUAAAGCACUUUCGGUGGGGACAAAAAGUGGCGGGAUAACACCCUGCUAUCUUGAUUUAACCCAUAGAAGAAGCACCGGCUAACUCUGUGCCAGCAGCCGCGGUAAUACAGAGGGUGCAAGCGUUAAUCGGAAUUACUGGGCGUAAAGCGCACGUAGGCGGCGUGAUAAGUUGGAUGUGAAAUCCCCGGGCUUAACUUGGGAAUUGCAUUCAAGACUGUCGCGCUAGAGUAUGGGAGAGAGAAGUGGAAUUCCAGGUGUAGCGGUGAAAUGCGUAGAUAUCUGGAGGAACAUCAGUGGCGAAGGCGGCUUCUUGGCCCAAUACUGACGCUGAGGUGCGAAAGCGUGGGGAUCAAACAGGAUUAGAUACCCUGGUAGUCCACGCUGUAAACGAUGAGAACUAGACGUUGGAAGGAUCUGCCUUUCAGUGUCGCAGCUAACGCGAUAAGUUCUCCGCCUGGGGAGUACGGCCGCAAGGUUGAAACUCAAAGGA
rnacentral:rRNA from 1 species